rnacentral:rRNA from 1 species
UACGUAGGGUGCGAGCGUUGUCCGGAAUUAUUGGGCGUAAAGGGCUCGUAGGCGGUUUGUCGCGUCGGGAGUGAAAACCCAGGGCUUAACUCUGGGCUUGCUUUCGAUACGGGCAGACUAGAGGUAUGUAGGGGAGAACGGAAAUUCCGUGGUAGGUAGGCGGUGAAAAUUGGUCCGCCAGGUAAUACUCAGGGAAGGGAAACACCCAAGGUAGGCCGGAAAGGCGGUUCCGAUUCCUUCGGG